rnacentral:rRNA from 1 species
UUACGGCCACAUCAUGUUGAAACACAGGUUCCCAUACAAUCAUCAAAGUUAAGCAAUGUUGAGUCUGGUCAGUACCUAGAUGGGUGACCACUUGGGAAUACUCAUGUUG